rnacentral:rRNA from 1 species
UACGUAGGGUGCAAGCGUUGUCCGGAAUUUAUUGGGCGUAAAGGGCUCGUAGGCGGUCCAUCGCGUCGGGAGUGAAAAGCUGGGGCUUAACCCCAGUCCUGCUUCCGAUACGGGUGGACUAGAGGUAGGCAGGGGAGAACGGAAUUCCUGGUGUAGCGGUGAAAUGACGCAGAUAUCAGGAGGAACACCGGUGGCGAAGGCGGUCUGCUGGGCAGUUUCUGACACUGAUGCGCGACAGCGUGGGGAGCAAACAGG